rnacentral:rRNA from 1 species
CGUAUGCAUACAAGCAGUGGGAGCACCUUAAUGGUGUGACUGCGUACCUUUUGUAUAAUGGGUCAGCGAGUUACUUAUAGUGGCAAGGUUAACCGACUAGGGGAGCCGAAGGGAAACCGAGUGUUAAAUGCGCGCGAGUCGCUGUGAGUAGACCCGAAACCAAGCGAUCUAUCCAUGGCCAGGAUGAAGGUUAGGUAACACUGACUGGAGGUCCGAACCCACUAAUGUUGCAAAAUUAGGGGAUGAGCUGUGGAUCGGAGUGAAAGGCUAAUCAAGCUUGGAGAUAGCUGGUUCUCCCCGAAAACUAUUUAGGUAGUGCCUGCAUAUUGAGACUCACAGGGGUAAAGCACUGUUUCGGCUAGGGGGGUAUUCGUACUUUACCAAACCGAUGCAAACUCAGAAUACUGUGAAGUUAUAUAUGGGAGACACACUGCGGGUGCUAAGGUCCGUAGUGGAGAGGGAAACAGCCCAGACCGUCAGCUAAGGUCCCAAAGUAUAUUGCUAAGUGGGAAACGAAGUGGGAAGGCNNAGACAGCCAGGAGGUUGGCUUAGAAGCAGCCACCUUUUAAAGAAAGCGUAAUAGCUCACUGGUCGAGUCGGCCCGCGCGGAAGAUUUAACGGGGCUAAGCAAUUCACCGAAGCUACGGAUGAUAUAUUUAUAUAUCAUGGUAGAGGAGCGUUCUGUAAGUUGAUGAAGGUGUAUUGAGAAGUAUGCUGGAGAUAUCAGAAGUGCGAAUGCUGACAUGAGUAACGUAAUGCGGGUGAGAAGCCCGCACGCCGGAUGUCCAAGGUUUCCUACGCAAUGUUAAUCAACGUAGGGUGAGUCGGCCCCUAAGGCGAGGCGGAAACGCGUAGCUGAUGGGAAACAGGUUAAUAUUCCUGUACUUUUUAUUAAUUCGAUGGAGUGACGGAGAAUGCUAGGCUAUCGUGGCGAUUGGUUGUCCACGUUUAAGCGUGUAGUUAGUAUAUGUAGGCAAAUCCGCAUAUAUUUAUACGAGGCGUUAUGACGAAGCANNUUUUANNUGUGAAGUAGUUNAUGCACGGCUUCCAGGAAAAGCUUCUAAGGUUAGUUAAUAAGGAACCGUACCCCAAACCAACACUGGUGGACAGGUAGAGAAUACUAAGGCGAAGAGAAAACUCGGGUGAAGGAACUAGGCAAAAUGACACCGUAACUUCGGGAGAAGGUGUGCCCACAUGGCUUGAAGGUCCUGCGACUGGAGGGUGAGUGGGUCGAAGAUACUAGGUGGCUGCGACUGUUUAUCAAAAACACAGCACUCUGCGAACUCGUCAAGAGGAAGUAUAGGGUGUGACGCCUGCCCGGUGCCGGAAGGUUAAUUGAUGGGGUUAGGACUUGUCCGAAGCUCUUGAUCGAAGCCCCGGUAAACGGCGGCCGUAACAAUAACGGUCCUAAGGUAGCGAAAUUCCUUGUCGGGUAAGUUCCGACCUGCACGAAUGGCGUAACGACGGCCACACUGUCUCCACCCGAGACUCAGUGAAAUUGAAAUUGCUGUGAAGAUGCAGUAUACCCGCGGCUAGACGGAAAGACCCCGUGAACCUUUACUACAGCUUUGCACUGGACAUUGACUAUAACUGUGUAGGAUAGGUGGGAGACUUUGAAGCACUUGCGCUAGCAUGUGUGGAGUCAUCCUUGAAAUACCACCCUGUUAUAUUUGAUGUUCUAACUUAGGUCCCUGAUCGGGAUUGAGGACAGUGUAUGGUGGGUAGUUUGACUGGGGCGGUCUCCUCCCAAAGAGUAACGGAGGAGCGCGAAGGUACC